rnacentral:rRNA from 1 species
AACGAACGCUGGCGGCAGGCCUAACACAUGCAAGUCGAGCGCGCCCUUCGGGUGAGCGGCGGACGGGUUAGUAACGCGUGGGAAUAUGCCCAAAGGUACGGAAUAGCCUCUGGAAACGGAGAGUAAUACCGUAUGUGCCCUUCGGGGGAAAGAUUUAUCGCCUUUGGAUUAGCCCGCGUUAGAUUAGGUAGUUGGUGGGGUAAUGGCCUACCAAGCCUACGAUCUAUAGCUGGUUUUAGAGGAUGAUCAGCAACACUGGGACUGAGACACGGCCCACGACUCCUACGGGAGGCGAGCAGUGGGGAAGUCUUGGUACGAAUGGGGGCGAACCCUGAUCCAGCCAUGCCGCGUGAGUGAUGAAGGCC